AGAGCGAACGCUGGCGGCGUGCUUAACACAUGCAAGUCGAACGCGCAGCAUUCUGUAGCAAUACAGGGUGUGGGCGCGUGGCGAACGGGUGCGUAACACGUGGAUAACCUUCCUUGAGGUGGGGAAUAACCCAGUGAAAAUUGGGCUAAUACCGCAUAACAUCGCGAUGGCACAUGCUGAUGCGAUCAAAGGCGCAAGUCGCCACAAGAGGGAUCCGCGGCCGAUUAGCUAGUUGGUGAGGUAAUGGCUCACCAAGGCAAUGAUCGGUA
rnacentral:rRNA from 1 species